UACCGGGCUGAUGCGCAUUCUAGUUAUACUUUCGUGAAUAACGGCUGGCACACCUUUAAAAUAUUGUGUUUACUUUGAAUAUUAAAACAUCCUAGUCACCAUAUUUUAGUGAAUUGCAAGCAAACGAGCCAAUAGCAGCAAAGCUUGUAGCCAAGAACGGAGACCAUCAACCACGGAGGAAGGAAACUAAGGAGAGGCCCUGACGUCACUCUUUGUGAAGCAAAAGUGAAGCCGGAAUUUGGCGUUGCUCAUGGCGAUGCUCCGCCUUUUGGGCCACCCUCCUCUCUUGUUUACAUCUUUCGCGAAACCACGCCGCGCUGCGCAUGGUGUCGCGCGCUCGCGCAACAUCUGGCAGAGCACGGUGCAGGUAACACAGCGCAACAAGACACGGUGACUAACGCAAACCCGCCCACUUAGCGCCUUUGCCACGGCCCGAAAGCUACCCGAGCAACGCGUGUGAGCGCUCAAAACCAUAACAACGCCGCCAUUGUGUCCGAAAAGGCGUGGCCAUACAACAAAAAAAAAAAUAAAAAAGCAGCAAAAAAAAUGUGGACCUUCUACGUCAUUUCCGCCACACUUUUCUCCUAUAGCGCGCGGAGGGGGUAGGGCCUCUCCUUAGUUUCCUUCCUCCGUGCCAUCAACGUUACAGUGUACUAGAAUGGGGGCAGUGUCUUCACGAAGCGCUCGCCGCUGAGGCGCUUCAUGUAGAUAGCAUAAAAUGGCGCUGUAGGAACAUAGGCUGUACGGAACGUACGGCGCAGCGCCAGCGCUACAUGUUGAUAUUUUGAUAAUAAUUUUCUUUCGCAGUCAAAUAGACGUGCAAAUGCUCGGCGGAUGUUAAGAUGCAUCCCCGAAACUCACUUCAUAUAACAGAUGAAUUAUAUAUGCACUCCUAGCGCAUCUCAACUCCCAUUAGACGGAUUUAUUAACCUGACAGCAAAGGUUUUGCAGAAACCGAAGUAGUGGCGUAAAGCCGUUAAAUUUAUUUUGAGCCACGCUGCCAUGUAACCAGAAAUUAUUCGGACGGAAAACUCGGCUGGAAAUAACGCCGUAGUAAAGCACUUCGAAUUGAUUAUAGGCCGUGUCUGCUGUGCCCGGGGCACAGCAGACGAAAGGUGCCCGAAAUGUCAACGUUCACCCAUGACGUCACGUCCGCUAUAACCCAUGAUGUCACAUCCGCUCAUUUCCAUGGCGGCCGUCUUACGGAGCCGGCUGCGCUGCGAAACGGUCCGUAUUCCGUGGCCACUUAGAGCACUGAACAUCCCACGUCUUGGUUUGACUUCCUGGUACAGGAUACUUGCACUUAGCAUGGAGUGAUGAAGCAGAGCAGUGUACUUUUAUUAAAUGUGCAGAUUUUAGCAGUAUAACAGCAGUUCAUGAAAAAAACAUGUGUGCUGAAAAUAAAGUGUUUUUACCCACA